rnacentral:rRNA from 1 species
GAACGCUAGCUACAGGCUUAACACAUGCAAGUCGAGGGGCAGCGGGAUUGAAGCUUGCUUCAAUUGCCGGCGACCGGCGCACGGGUGAGUAACGCGUAUCCAACCUUCCGUACACUCAGGGAUAGCCUUUCGAAAGAAAGAUUAAUACCUGAUAGUAUCUUAAGCACACAUGUAAUUAAGAUUAAAGAUUUAUCGGUGUACGAUGGGGAUGCGUUCCAUUAGGUAGUAGGCGGGGUAACGGCCCACCUAGCCAACGAUGGAUAGGGGUUCUGAGAGGAAGGUCCCCCACAUUGGAACUGAGACACGGUCCAAACUCCUACGGGAGGCAGCAGUGAGGAAUAUUGGUCAAUGGACGAGAGUCUGAACCAGCCAAGUAGCGUGAAGGAUGAAGGUCCUACGGAUUGUAAACUUCUUUUAUAAGGGAAUAAACCCUCCCACGUGUGGGAGCUUGUAUGUACCUUAUGAAUAAGCAUCGGCUAACUCCGUGCCAGCAGCCGCGGUAAUACGGAGGAUGCGAGCGUUAUCCGGAUUUAUUGGGUUUAAAGGGAGCGCAGACGGGUCGUUAAGUCAGCUGUGAAAGUUUGGGGCUCAACCUUAAAAUUGCAGUUGAUACUGGCGUCCUUGAGUGCGGUUGAGGUGUGCGGAAUUCGUGGUGUAGCGGUGAAAUGCUUAGAUAUCACGAAGAACUCCGAUUGCGAAGGCAGCACACUAAUCCGUAACUGACGUUCAUGCUCGAAAGUGUGGGUAUCAAACAGGAUUAGAUACCCUGGUAGUCCACACGGUAAACGAUGGAUACUCGCUGUUGGCGAUAUACUGUCAGCGGCUUAGCGAAAGCGUUAAGUAUCCCACCUGGGA